CAUCGAUGUGGGGUUGAGGAAGACAAGAGGAGCUCCAGCCUCUCACUGUCCUGGCAUUUCCUCUACGUUCAUGUCUUGCUAGAACGGUGUGAAUUGACAGAAUAUCUGCGGGGUUUUACGUAGUAUAUGGCUGCCCACAAGGUGUUCAGUGCUUCAAAAUUGAGAAGGGAGGAAAACACCAGCUACCAAAGGGAAGCCCGAAAGCUUUCUUUGCAAGUGCACUCGACAUGGGAAUACCCAAAGCUGACCAGGAAUUUGUUCUCAAAGUGCUCACAGGGACCUAGACAAAUGCACAGGAACUUAGAAUCCAACCUGAACCAAACCCAGGAAGGCUUCCUGAAAGAGGCAAUCUCAAAAUGAAGACAAAAUCACAUUUAGAAUGGAUGAAUAAUAAGGUCCUAAUAUAUAGCACAGGGAACUAUAUUCAAUAUCCUGUGAUAAACCAUAA
ensembl:lncRNA